rnacentral:rRNA from 1 species
AGUGGCAGACGGGUGAGUAACACGUGAACAACCUACCUUCGAGUGGGGAAUAACACCGCGAAAGCGGUGCUAAUACCGCAUAACAUCUCCGCAUGCAAGGGCGCGCUCGGAGAGGGGUUCGCGCCUGAUUAGCUAGUUGGUGAGGUAACGGCCCACCAAGGCAACGAUCAGUAGCCGGCCUGAGAGGGCGAACGGCCACACUGGAACUGAGACACGGUCCAGACUCCUACGGGAGGCAGCAGUGGGGAAUUUUGCGCAAUGGGCGAAAGCCUGACGCAGCAACGCCGCGUGGAGGAUGAAGGUCUUCGGAUCGUAAACUCCUGUCAGCGGGGACGAAUGACUGUACCCGCUGAGGAAGCCACGGCUAACUCCGUGCCAGCAGCCGCGGUAAUACGGAGGUGGCAAGCGUUGUUCGGAAUUACUGGGCGUAAAGGGCGCGUAGGCGGCUUAGCAAGUCAGAUGUGAAAGCCCCGGGCUUAACUCGGGAAUUGCAUCUGAAAC